rnacentral:rRNA from 1 species
GAUGAACGCUGGCGGCGUGCCUAAUACAUGCAAGUCGAGCGAACGGACGAGAAGCUUGCUUCUCUGAUGUUAGCGGCGGACGGGUGAGUAACACGUGGAUAACCUACCUAUAAGACUGGGAUAACUUCGGGAAACCGGAGCUAAUACCGGAUAAUAUUUUGAACCGCAUGGUUCAAAAGUGAAAGACGGUCUUGCUGUCACUUAUAGAUGGAUCCGCGCUGCAUUAGCUAGUUGGUAAGGUAACGGCUUACCAAGGCAACGAUGCAUAGCCGACCUGAGAGGGUCAUCGGCCACCCGGGAAGUGAGACACGGUCCAGACUCCUACGGGAGGCAGCAGUAGGGAAUCUUCCGCAAUGGGCGAAAGCCUGACGGAGCAACGCCGCGUGAGUGAUGAAGGUCUUCGGAUCGUAAAACUCUGUUAUUAGGGAAGAACAUAUGUGUAAGUAACUGUGCACAUCUUGACGGUACCUAAUCAGAAAGCCACGGCUAACUACGUG